rnacentral:rRNA from 1 species
AAUGAACGCUGGCGGCAUGCCUAACACAUGCAAGUCGAACGAGACCUUCGGGUCUAGUGGCGCACGGGUGCGUAACGCGUGGGAAUCUGCCCUUGGGUUCGGAAUAACAGUUAGAAAUGACUGCUGAUACCGGAUGAUGUCGUAAGACCAAAGAUUUAUCGCCCAAGGAUGAGCCCGCGUAGGAUUAGCUAGUUGGUGAGGUAAAAGCUCACCAAGGCGACGAUCCUUAGCUGGUCUGAGAGGAUGAUCAGCCACACUGGGACUGAGACACGGCCCAGACUCCUACGGGAGGCAGCAGUGGGGAAUAUUGGACAAUGGGCGAAAGCCUGAUCCAGCAAUGCCGCGUGAGUGAUGAAGGCCUUAGGGUUGUAAAGCUCUUUUACCCGGGAUGAUAAUGACAGUACCGGGAGAAUAAGCUCCGGCUAACUUCGUGCCAGCCGCCGCCGUAAGAC